rnacentral:rRNA from 1 species
UACGUAGGGAGCGAGCGUUGUUCGGAAUUACUGGGCGUAAAGGGCGCGUAGGCGGUCUUCUAAGUCCUGUGUGAAAUCCCUCGGCUCAACUGAGGAACUGCACGGGAUACUGGAAGACUUGAGUUCGGGAGAGGGAAGCGGAAUUCCGGGUGUAGCGGUGAAAUGCGUAGAGAUCGGGAGGAACACCCGCGGCGAAGGCGGCCACCUGGACCAGUACUGACGCUGAGGCGCGAAGGCCGGGGGAGCGAACGGG